ACAUAUGCACACACACAUGCAUGCACAUGCACAGAAAGAGAGAGCCCUUUCUAUGCUUUUAGAGAGUGUAGUGCUAGGAUAGAACCUAGAACCCCAUGCACAUAGCCCCAUGUUCUCCCAGCUGAACUACUCCCCCAGCCCCCGUUGCUACCCAUUCAAUUCAUCCCGAGACUGUGGCCUUCAUUAUACAGUUGAACUGGACGAUCUGCAGAGAUUAGAUUCAAGGUGGGAACACCACAGAUGAGACUUAGUUUCUAUUGGCUUUGUAUUAGUUCCUCUGUGUCAGAUGUCAGUGGCCCCCUAGAGGAGCACAAGCCUGUGUAUUGGCUGUGUGGUGGGAACAGUGCCUGUCCUGACUUGGGCAAGUGGACGGACGAGGCAGAAAACAUCUCUAGCACUUUAACAUGGCCUUUCUUUCCUCCCAUCAUCCUUCCUUUUUUUUUAAUCUCUUUUUUUUUUAUCAUUUGAGAAUUUCAUGCAUGUGUAUAUGGUAUUAUCAAACCCACACCCCAUUCCUAACAUGGCCUUUCUUUGAUAUUGAAACCUCAUGAGUGGAAUGCUUCAUAAGUCUGUGUUAUUUUAUGUAUUUCCAGGCUGGAAACCCAAAGAGGAAAUCCCUAAGCUGGUUUCUGACUACAUGGCACAGAAGUUUAACCUAGAUCCUCUGGUCACCCACACCCUGACUCUCAGUGAGGUCCAUGAGGCAGUUCAGCUAAUGAAAAGCGGGCAACGGUAAUCACUUGUCACUUCUGUCCGUGUCUGGAUGUGGGGACAGGGGGUUGUCGCUGCUACAGUACUACACAAAGAUCUACCCUUGCCCUCUGAAUUUUGCUUUAUUGCUGGGAGUGUUAAGGUAGUAGAUAGGGUUCACAUUAUUUCUUCAUACAAGAUGGAGCUAAAGAUGCCAUCCCAUAAAGUUAGGAUCUAAGUUUAGGAACACGAGUUACAGAGCUGGAGAAAAGACUCUGCAGGUGAAAACUCUUGCUGCAACGAUGAACAUCCUGGCUUUAAUCCCCAGUACCCCAUAGAGAUGGUAGGAGAGGCCCGACUGCACAAGGCUGUCCUUCUGACUUCCUUAUGCACACUUGGCGCACAUCUAUCCUCUACUCCUCCCCACAGUAAGAUAAAAUAUGGAAAGAAAGGUUGAAGCCACUUUACAAGGGGGUGUAGUUAUCAUGUUCAUGUUUUAUUUCUGUGUGGGGAUCGUCUAUAGAAUUCCUAAUGCUAAUACCUCCUCCUGGUAGAGACUGACCCGAAACGACACCAGCACUUCUCUCAGUUAAAGCUCCUUACCUACUCUAUCACCGUGGGAACUGCAUGUUGCUUUGUUCAUUUUUCUCCUCGUUUGUUAAUCUGUCCCCAUUCCCUUUUUUUUUACCCAAUAGCAAAGGAAGUGACACUAGUUUAUAGGUCUAACACACGAGAAUUUGAAUCCAAAACCCACAGUGCAUCGGAAAUUCCUCAAUGUUUUCUUUCUUCUUCUUCUUCUUCUUCUUCUUCUUCUUCUUCUUCUUCUUCUUCUUCUUCUUCUUCUUCUUCUUCUUCUUCUUCCUCUCUCUCUCUCUCUCUCUCUCUCUCUCUCUCUCUCUCUCUCUCUCUAGUAUCAGCUGUGUCCUGCUACCAUAAUUACAAGAGCUACAUAUUUCAUCAUGUAUCAAGAUUUAAAAUAAUCUGCCACACAAUGCUUUUCUAUUUUCUUGGCUUUCAUUUACUCAGCAACAAUUUUUGUAUCAAGCUUCUCACCUGACCACACCAUCGAAGUGAUUCCCAUGUGACUCAGUGCCAUGGAGAACCAGCCUCCCUUUUACAGCCAUGUUAAGGUUGAUGUGAAUCACCCAAUAGCAGAUGCUGCAGAUGAAGGCACACCAAGAGGCUCUGUUGGCACAGCUGUCUCUACCUAGGGACGCACAUUUCCUCACUCACUGGAUCUUUCCCACGCUGUAUGGAUCCACACAUGAAGCUCUGUGGAUGGUCCAUACAGUGCAGAAUUCCCACCAGAGACAUAACUGGAAUUGAUAAACAAUUGAGCUAGUGUUUAGGUCAUACCACCACCACCACAAGAACCAAUAGUGUGGUUGUAUGGCAAUAGCGAGGCAUCUGAUAGAGAAAUCAAGGAAGCAAUCUCACAACUGUUGUGAGAUUGAUCUCACAAAUAAAUGAACAACAUAGAAACAAAUUUAGUCAAAGGUGAAAUAUAUCUACAAUAAAAAGUAUAAAACAUUGCAGAGUGUCAUGGUAUACUUCUUUAGUCCAAACAUCUUGAUGGCCAAGGAAGGCAGACUAUGUAAGUUCAGGACUAGCAACAUGGUCACAUAGCAAAUUUUACACAGCCUGAUUGUGUAGAAUUGAUCAUGUCUCAAAUAUAGACAUAUUUAAAUAUAUACAUAAAGGAAAACAUUCUUUGUUCAUGAUUCAAGACUUAGAAGAAUCUAUAUUGUUAAAUGUCCACGCUAUCCAAAGAGAUCUACAGAUUCAAUGCAGUCUUAACAAAGCACCAGUAAAAUUCCUCACAGAUUAAAAAAUAGCCUUCAAAUCUGUAUGAAACCUCAAAAAUGCAAAUAGACAAAGUAACCCUGUUCAUAAAGUACAAAAUGGGAGCCGUUAUACUCCAAAAUACACUACUGAGUUGUAGUGACCAAAGCAACAAGGUUUGGCAGAAAACCAGAAUCACAGACCAGUGGGACAGAACAGAGAGCCCAAGAAACCUGAAUACAUUCAAAGAACAAGCUAAGAAGGUGCUAAGAAGAUGCACCAAAGGAAGUAGGGUCUUUUCAAUUACUGGCCCUAUGAAAAUAGAUAUGG
rnacentral:lncRNA from 1 species